AUUGAACGCUGCGGCAUGCCUUACACAUGCAAGUCGAACGGCAGCACGGGAGCAAUCCUGGUGGCGAGUGGCGAACGGGUGAGUAAAGUAUCGGAACGUGCCCAGUCGUGGGGGAUAACGUAGCGAAAGUUACGCUAAUACCGCAUACGAUCUAUGGAUGAAAGCUGGGGAUCGCAAGACCUCGCGCGAUUGGAGCGGCCGAUAUCAGAUUAGGUAGUUGGUGGGGUAAAGGCUCACCAAGCCGACGAUCUGUAGCUGGUCUGAGAGGACGACCAGACACACUGGGACUGAGACACGGCCCAGACUCCUACGGGAGGCAGCAGUGGGGAAUUUUGGACAAUGGGCGAAAGCCUGAUUCAGCCAUGCCGCGUGCAGGAUGAAGGCCUUCGGGUUGUAAACUGCUUUUGUACGGAACGAAAAGGUUUGGCCUAAUAAGCUGAGCUCAUGACGGUACCGUAAGAAUAAGCACCGGCUAACUACGUGCCAGCCGCCGCAGUAA
rnacentral:rRNA from 1 species